rnacentral:rRNA from 1 species
CUGCGGCAGCGACACUAUGUGUUGUUGGGUAGGGGAGCGUUCUGUAAGCCUGUGAAGGUGUGUCGUGAGGCAUGCUGGAGGUAUCAGAAGUGCGAAUGCUGACAUAAGUAACGAUAAAGCGGGUGAAAAGCCCGCUCGCCGGAAGACCAAGGGUUCCUGUCCAACGUUAAUCGGGGCAGGGUGAGUCGACCCCUAAGGCGAGGCCGAAAGGCGUAGUCGAUGGGAAACGGGUUAAUAUUCCCGUACUUGGUGUUACUGCGAAGGGGGGACGGAGAAGGCUAUGUUGGCCGGGCGACGGUUGUCCCGGUUUAAGCGUGUAGGUGUGUGUUCCAGGUAAAUCCGGUUCACUUUAACACUGAGGCGUGAUGACGAGGCACUACGGUGCUGAAGCAACAAAUGCCCUGCUUCCAGGAAAAGCCUCUAAGCAUCAGGUAACAUCAAAUCGUACCCCAAACCGACACAGGUGGUCAGGUAGAGAAUACCAAGGCGCUUGAGAGAACUCGGGUGAAGGAACUAGGCAAAAUGGUGCCGUAACUUCGGGAGAAGGCACGCUGACACGUAGGUGAAGUGAUUUACUCAUGGAGCUGAAGUCAGUCGAAGAUACCAGCUGGCUGCAACUGUUUAUUAAAAACACAGCACUGUGCAAACACGAAAGUGGACGUAUACGGUGUGACGCCUGCCCGGUGCCGGAAGGUUAAUUGAUGGGGUCAGCGCAAGCGAAGCUCCUGAUCGAAGCCCCGGUAAACGGCGGCCGUAACUAUAACGGUCCUAAGGUAGCGAAAUUCCUUGUCGGGUAAGUUCCGACCUGCACGAAUGGCGUAAUGAUGGCCAGGCUGUCUCCACCCGAGACUCAGUGAAAUUGAACUCGCUGUGAAGAUGCAGUGUACCCGCGGCAAGACGGAAAGACCCCGUGAACCUUUACUAUAGCUUGACACUGAACAUUGAGCCUUGAUGUGUAGGAUAGGUGGGAGGCUUUGAAGUGUGGACGCCAGUCUGCAUGGAGCCGACCUUGAAAUACCACCCUUUAAUGUUUGAUGUUCUAACGUGGACCCGUGAUCCGGGUUGCGGACAGUGUCUGGUGGGUAGUUUGACUGGGGCGGUCUCCUCCUAAAGAGUAACGGAGGAGCACGAAGGUUGGCUAAUCCUGGUCGGACAUCAGGAGGUUAGUGCAAUGGCAUAAGCCAGCUUGACUGCGAGCGUGACGGCGCGAGCAGGUGCGAAAGCAGGUCAUAGUGAUCCGGUGGUUCUGAAUGGAAGGGCCAUCGCUCAACGGAUAAAAGGUACUCCGGGGAUAACAGGCUGAUACCGCCCAAGAGUUCAUAUCGACGGCGGUGUUUGGCACCUCGAUGUCGGCUCAUCACAUCCUGGGGCUGAAGUAGGUCCCAAGGGUAUGGCUGUUCGCCAUUUAAAGUGGUACGCGAGCUGGGUUUAGAACGUCGUGAGACAGUUCGGUCCCUAUCUGCCGUGGGCGCUGGAGAACUGAGGGGGGCUGCUCCUAGUACGAGAGGACCGGAGUGGACGCAUCACUGGUGUUCGGGUUGUCAUGCCAAUGGCACUGCCCGGUAGCUAAAUGCGGAAGAGAUAAGUGCUGAAAGCAUCUAAGCACGAAACUUGCCCCGAG